GAUGAACGCUAGCUACAGGCUUAACACAUGCAAGUCGAGGGGUAACGAGAGGAAAGCUUGCUUUCCUUGUCGACGACCGGCGCACGGGUGAGUAACGCGUAUCCAACCUGCCCCCAACUAGGGAAUAACCUUGCGAAAGUAAGACUAAUACCCUAUAAUUUCCUCAGAUGUCAUCUGACGAGGACUAAAGAUUUAUCGGUUGUGGAUGGGGAUGCGUCUGAUUAGCUUGUUGGCGGGGUAACGGCCCACCAAGGCAACGAUCAGUAGGGGUUCUGAGAGGAAGGUCCCCCACAUUGGGACUGAGACACGGUCCAAACUCCUACGGGAGGCAGCAGUGAGGAACAUUGGUCAAUGGGCGGAAGCCUGAACCAGCCAAGUAGCGUGCAGGAUGACGGCCCUAUGGGUGGUAAACUGCUUUUAUACAGGAAUAAAGUUAGCCACGUGUGGUUAUUUGUAGGUACUGUAUGAAUAAGGACCGGCUAAUUCCGUGCCAGCCGCCGCCGUAA
rnacentral:rRNA from 1 species